AAACAGGAUCUGCGUGUGUAGAUUUGUAUUUGUUUUGGGAGGAGGUUUAUAGAUUGAAAAGAGUGUUUUAUUUAAAUUCAACAUUUUCACUUGAACAGAAGGAAAAUCACUUACAUUGUACUUUUCUUUAAGGUAUGGAGGUAUGGGAGAUAACUGCAAUAUUUUUCAUUACGCUUUCUGUGAUCUUGUCAAUUAUUUUGGCCAAAUGUUGUUAUGUACACUUUAGAAAGAAUAACGGAG